CCUACGGGAGGCAGCAGUGGGGAAUAUUGGACAAUGGGCGAAAGCCUGAUCCAGCCAUGCCGCGUGUGUGAAGAAGGCCCUCGGGUCGUAAAGCACUUUAAGUUGGGAGGAAGGGCUCAUAGCGAAUACCUGUGAGUUUUGACGUUACCAACAGAAUAAGCACCGGCUAACUUCGUGCCAGCAGCCGCGGUAAU
rnacentral:rRNA from 1 species